CCUACGGGGCGCAGCAGUGGGGAAUAUUGCACAAUGGGGGGAACCCUGAUGCAGCGACGCCGCGUGAGUGAAGAAGUAUUUCGGUAUGUAAAGCUCUAUCAGCAGGGAAGAAAAUGACGGUACCUGACUAAGAAGCCCCGGCUAACUACGUGCCAGCAGCCGCGGUAAUACGUAGGGGGCAAGCGUUAUCCGGAUUUACUGGGUGUAAAGGGAGCGUAGACGGUUAUGCAAGUCUGAAGUGAAAGCCCGGGGCCCAACCCCGGGACUGCUCUUGGAACUGCGUGGCUGGAGUGCAGGAGGGGCAG
rnacentral:rRNA from 1 species